GGGUGUAAGGUACGUGCAUGUAACUUAGCAUUAGCCUCUAUAUAUAUAUAUAUAUAUAUAUAUAUAUCUCACGAUACUUGUCUGAUUGUAUCUCGAGAUGCUGCAACUUGGCCCCACGCUUUAUUCAGCAUCGAUGCUUGUACGUUUCCUUCGUUUGUGUAUCAAUGAAUUAACAUGACGUGUCACGUGUGUCCUCUGCUUGACUGCAUGUGGAAUGCCUAAAUGACAAACCUGGGCCCAACUUAAAGGCCCAAGUGAGGAUGUUAGAAAUGUGCGUGACAGUAUAAUUCCAGAACCUCAACUUGAUUUGCAAACAAUUACAUUAAAUAAAAACUACUCAGUGCUUGUUAAUUGUUCUUGAUGUACUAGGUUAUUUAAAAAAAUGUAUUUAGAAGGGAUCAAUGGGUGUGUCAAUUUUUUGGUCACACAUGUACCAACGAUGCGUUAAUGAAUUUCGUAAAAAUAAAAUAAAUUUAUAGUAUUCAAUUUACCCAACUCUAUUUUAUUUAUUUCUGUUGCAAAAAUAAGAGCUAGAAUACCGCUUAUAAAUAAUACAAGGAGCAUGACCGGUAUAGGAACUAUUAAAGCUACUGAAGAAACAAGAACAAUAAGAACAAUAACUACUAAUUCAUUGGCUAAUAUAUUCCCAAAAAGUCAAAAACUAAGUGAUAAAAGUUUCACUAAAAAAACAAAAGACUAAUAUUAAAAGUUUGUUCAAGUCGCAUGUUUAAACCUAUUUACCGCUAAUCAAACUUCAAAUAAUGCAAUUCAUAAAUAGAAUAUAAUCAGAAAAAAAAAAAGUUGUCCAUCGGAUUAAUUAGAUCUAUUAUUGAUAUAUGACUAAUUGAGUAUGAUGAGAACACAAAUGUAUAUAAUGCAAUUCAAACAUAAAUUAUAUUGACAGUGAUUAGAUUCAUCAAUUGGAACUGAUAAAAUUUUGAAUUAAUUGAAUCGCUGCCAUGAAGAUUCUUGUUAUUAAGUAAUAGGCAAUAAGGGGCAUAUAAUAAGAAUAACUAUAAAUUUUCUACUUUAUUGAUCAAACAUAAUUAUCAAAAUAUCGUUUGUAUCAUUAAUCAAAGUUUUGUAAAUUAAACAAUAAUUAGUGCUGAUUAUAAGUUUGUUGCAUACUCAACAUUUCAAUUUCUAAAAUUAUUGUUGUAUGGAAAAAAGGACCAUUUUUUAACACCAAAUACAGAGGCACAGUGCUUAUGGCAACAUUCUACAUAUAUAUAUUCACAGUUAGAAGCAUAGAAAACAAGAUCAUUUUUAAGGCCAAUUACAGAAGCAAAGUGCUCAUUUGUGAUUAUCACACAAUGGUCAACACUUCUACUAAGCUUUCAAAUUAAGAGUGGAGUGGAAGAUGAGCAAGCAUCUCCAGCACCACUCUUAAACAAAAAAGUGAUAAAAAAUUCCAAUUCCAGCUAUUUUGAAAAUACCUUAACUACAGGAUAUACCUCUAUGCAGUUAGUAUCAUCCAUUGUAAAUGAAAUGAUACAUUUUAUUCUUGACUCUCUCUCUCUCUUUAUAACUUAGUGGCAAGACCUCCUGAUCUCUUCCAGUAAAGGAAACGAAGAUUUGCUCAAUAUCUUGACAUUAUAGAUAUAUAAGUGCAGAGAUAGCUAAUAGUAGUCCCUGAUGAUCGGAGGUUCACCAUUAGGUUUAUCAAUCACACUUAGGUUUAUCAAUCACACUUAUAUUGGAAGCAAAGGUCCAGAGCUGACUGGCUGUUGGAGGGAGACAGAAACACAAUUUUUUUUCAUGCCAAGGCUUCAGCAAGAAAAAGAAAAACAAAAUUUGAGAGUGUGUGAUGAAGACGGAACAUAGUCAGAUGAAGACGGAUCCGUGCAUCGUGCCCAGCAAUUUUCAGCAGAGGAAUUAUUAUUUAACGGAUAAAAAUUUUGUUGAUUUCAAUAUUAAUACAAUGGGGCUUUUAUAUAUCUUUCUAGAAGGAUGCCAAAUCGAUUAGAUAUUUCAAGUUAUUUUAUUUAUAUGCUUAUUUCAAAUUCUCAAAAAGAAUUAAAAAAAAAAACCUCAAAAAAUAAUCAGAUUCAAUCUUUUUUUCCCCCCAAUAUUUCUUUUAUCGUUUCCAAUUGGUAAAUGCAAAUGAGAAAAGAUUUUAACUUAAAUCGGUCUCAAUUUUUUUUAAGCUCUCACAUCAGGAGGAAUAUGAUGCAUAAUACAAUAAAAAUAACGAAAUGAAGAUAUUUUUUUACCUCGAACAUAAAAAUGUUGUUUUCAGUGCCACGUCCAACUAUCGGCGAGAAAUUGGUGCAAUCGACCAUUUGCUCAGCAACCAUUCUGAGAGCACAGUCAGCCCUUCCCUGAUACAACUGCUCCAUCGGAAAUUGAAAGCAAACUUUUUUUUUUUUGCAAUUCAAGUAGAAAGGGAAAUAUGAAAGGGGGAGAGGCCAGAGGGCAUUUGGCUGUAUUUAUUGAGUUGAUUGAUGUGUGUAUCUACGUGCUACUUGUACAUUGUAAAUAAAAUGAGAAAUCACAUGAUAAGUUUUUUUUUUAGUUCUUCUCAAACAAAAACAGAAGGUUUUUUCUUAGUUUGGAUGAGCUGGCAUCAUUGAGAUAUUCGAAAUGCAGUACAUUUUUAUUUUAUCAUAGGUAAAGAUGGCCAAUGGGCCAUGCUAGCCAUCAAAAGAAGGCUCAUGCAUACUUGUGCCCAUGCCGUGCCGUGCCGUGCCCACUAUGUGUUUUGUGCUGUGUCAUGUCAUGCCUAACUUUUUUUACUUAGGUCCGGCCGAACACACGUGCUGUGCUGUGUCGUGCCCAAGAAAAAAAACACAAUAAGCUUUUUUUUUAAAAUUUUUUAAGACACGUGCUAAACUGUUCAUGUACUUUUU
rnacentral:lncRNA from 1 species